rnacentral:ncRNA from 1 species
GUUGCUUAGGUCUGUGGUUGAAAAUCGAUGCCAGUCGCAGGCGAAACGAUCCACGUAAGAAGCCCAAAGCGGCUUUGAUCAUGGUGCGGCUUAGAGAUAAGCCCUGCCGAACUGAGAAGUGGGAGGCGGAGCUGUGAUGUGUGAAAAACACUCACAACCCCUGUUCCGAAUUGGUUCGAGAGGAGUAGUAGUGAGGGGAUUGAUUUCCUAGUAGCGAACCUUCCAGCAGGCGGGUGUGGGGUCAAAGACCAGGUCGGCUAAGCAAU